ensembl:lncRNA
AAUCCCCUCUGGUCAGCUAUGAACAGGAAUGAAAAUGAUGCUUUCCACUUCAGGACCAAGGCUGACAGGAAGCAACCAUGUCAUUUCUGUGGUGACCAACAACACUAGGUGAUGCUGUUACCAUGGGUGGAAGGAGUCAGACCAUUGAGUUGACAGCAGUAAGUUAGUCUGCUGUUUCAUGGAUGAAGACAAAAGAAGGGCUCUUUUCUGCUGGAUCCCUUCUACUGAGAAGCUCUCCAAGAGAUAGGAAAGCACUUCCACUUGCAAGAAGGGAAAGGAGAACCUUCCUCCACUUCCUUCCUGAGUGCAAGUUCUUCUGGAUCCCGGCCCCCACCUGUACAGAUCUCUGAGCCAGGAUGGAUGACACGGAGCCCCGCUGGAGCAGGAAGUCAAUGGGAAUGCGAGGUCCCCCCGGGACUGUUAUUAGAGGGUUCCCUAUUUACUCAAUCUGGGAUAAAGCUUUUGGAAAAUAUAACAUCUGGAAAGUUUCAGCCAUCUCCUUCCUGACCAAUAAUUUGCUAAAAUCAGAGAAGGCAGCUUGGUGCCCUUCUGAAUCUGUCUUUCAGCCACAGUGAGAGUUGGCUUGACAGUAACAUGCCAGUAACACAUCUUUGCUUUUCUGAGAGCCUCUGCUUUCAGUGUGACCAGCAGCUCAUUGAACUUAGAUUUUCACCACUGUCGAAAACAGUGAAAGGAAGCAUGAAUUCCACUGCUUGCUCUGCUGCAUUUUGGGUUAGUUCUCAGUUAUUCACGGGAUGUAGCACUUUGUUUUGUUUCUCUGUGGCAGAAGAUGAUGACUCGCUGUAAAUCCAUGCCCCUUUCUUAGCUAGAGUUACACAGGAGGAGCACUCAGGUAACUGGAGAUGCCUGGAAGAAGGAGAGAUUUCUUAUAAGCAAAACUGAAAAGGACUGCUUAGCUUGUACUGGAAAAUAUUCACGAGAAAUAGUGCCAGAGAAUAUAAAUUAAAAACCCAUAUGGAAAACAUAAAUUAGGAACCAACCUGCAGAGGGCCAAUAGGAUAUCUCUGUUGCUGAAGAAUAAUAAAUAUUUUUAAUGUAUUUAAUAUGGAUUAAAAUAAAGCUUUUUGUUGGAUGUUGUAUUUAACCUACAAGAGUUAUAUUCCAUACAAGCAGUUACAAAAAGUUUUCUGCAUCAGAUAAAAAUUAAUAAUAUGUAAGAACAGAAUAGGUAAAUUAGAUAAAAUAGUUUGCAGUAAUUUAUAACUAGGUUUGAGUCUAAAGCUUCACAACAUAGAGAAAUAAUGAAUGUGUGAAGAGAUGGAAAUGCUAUUACCCUGGUUGAUCACUGUACUUCUUUAUACCUGUAUUGGGAUAUCAUUCCAGC